GAAUGGAAAAACAAUUGAAGCCAAAAUUAGAGUCCUGAGUGAGUGCCAUACUCCAGGUUGAAGAGAUGGUGUCCUCUCCAAUCACAUCUUCACUCAGCCUCCUCUCUCCUUUUCCAGAAAAAAAAAAUACCCCACGGAUCCAAGAGAACUUGUGCUACUUCGGGCCCAGCUAACCCAGAGAGCCAGGGAGACUCCCCACUGCCCCCCAGCAGGCGACUCUGGGGACACGCUCUGUAAUCUCAAACCCUGUCUGCCUUCUGAGAUUUAGAGGCCAGUUUAACACUAACUGAAAUCGGGUGGAUUUUAUGAAACUUAACCAAAUGUCCUCUUUCUCUUCAGGAGCCCAGCGACCUCUGGCUCUAGCACUCUCCAGGGCUCAGCUCUCCAGGAAAACCACAAGUCGCUUACAGUGUCUGCUCAGGGCAGGCUGUCCUUCCCCAGCCUGUCUGAGUUGCAGUUAGACCAGAGCUGGCUUGAACAAUUGACAUUCAAAGGAAUUGCCCAGAGGGACUUCACAAUCAGUAAUCAUUCCCUUUCUGACCAGCAGGCUGACUUCUGUCCUUGGUUGAGACUAGUCUAGGCCUUUAUGUAACAGUACAGAUUUCACAUUCCUGAACAGCGCACACAUUCCUUCCUCAUGUUCUGUGAAAUCACCUUGUUAAUGUAAAAACAUUCAAACCUG